CGGCCACCACCAAUAUCAUGGCUGUUGAUAAUUUAAUUUACAGUUAUGCCUUUUCCGUUGAAUUGAAUUAGAAUUUAGGGAUUUUGCAGUCGUACUGAUACCAAUCCAAUGGCGCUGUCGCGAUUUUAUCAUCCCUGUUGUUCUACUCUUCCCUCCCCACCACCAUCCCCGCCGCAAUCUUCUGCUGCUUCUUGUCUUGGUAGCAGCUAUUCACCCUCCAAGUCCCCAGUAUUUACAGGUUCUGCCCUCCUCCGCCCUCUCCGCUGGCAAUCAAGCCACCGGCACCUGCGGUCUCUGACGGCGGUGAAGGUGAGGGGCAGCCUCUCUUCGGCCGCGGAAACUUCAAUUUCUGGCAGAGAAGGAGAGAAGGAGCUGCUACUCGAAGUGAAGGAUCUAACGGCCGUGAUUGCCGAAUCCAAACAGCUGAUUCUCAAGGGCGUCAACCUCUCUGUCUACCAAGGGGAGGUUCAUGCAAUUAUGGGAAAGAACGGUUCGGGGAAAAGCACUCUUGCCAAGGUUCUCGCCGGGCAUCCGGAUUACCAAGUUACAGGAGGCAGUGUUGUGUUUAAAGGUGACAACUUGCUCGAAAUGGCAGCAGAAGACCGGUCACUGGCCGGGCUUUUUAUGAGUUUCCAGUCCCCAGUUGAGAUCCCCGGUGUCACCAACAUUGAUUUUCUCAACAUGGCUUACAAUGCUCGCAGAAAAAAACUAGGACUGCCGGAGCUUGGACCAAUUGAGUUCUAUGCUUAUAUAUUUCCCAAACUUGAUCUUGUCAACAUGAAGACCGACUUCCUUAAUCGAAAUGUUAAUGAAGGCUUUAGUGGAGGUGAAAAGAAGCGCAAUGAGAUUUUGCAACUGGCGGUUUUGGGAGCAGAGUUGGCCAUAUUGGAUGAAAUUGAUUCUGGAUUGGAUGUCGAUGCGCUACGAGAUGUAGCAAAGGCAGUCAAUGGGCUUCUGACUCCGACAAAUUCUGUAUUGAUGAUUACUCAUUAUCUACGACUUCUGGAAUUUAUAAAGCCAACAUGUAUCCAUAUUAUGGAGGAUGGGAAAAUUAUAAAGACAGGUGACAUCUCCUUAGCAGAAGUGCUAGAGAAGGAAGGGUACAAAGCAAUUUCUUGAGCAUAACUUUAUGAAAGCUCAUGCCUCGGGUUCACUUUCCAAGAUGAGAAUGUCAUGCAAGAGAACACUGGACACAAGCUCAGAUGUAGUAUUGCUGAAACUGCUUCAGGAUUUGAUUCGGGGAAAAGCGGGUGCAGGAGUAAUGAUCUCUUCCCGAAAAACCAUAAAACAUAAUCUGCGUUCACUGCUUGGUAAUUUGAGUUUUACAUUUGUCUAAUUUGUUAGGUCAUAUUAUGGGUAUCAAGGUGUGGAGCCCUGAUACCUAGUAAUCUCAUAUAUAAGUGAAAUAACUUGAAAGUUUUGCUAUCUGGUAUGGUCCAUGCUUCUGACUCAACCACAAACGUAACCUUUUGAUGGUGAUAUUUUAAACUACUCUGUUCUACGA